CCUACGGGGGGCAGCAGUGAGGAAUAUUGGUCAAUGGGCGCGAGCCUGAACCAGCCAAGUAGCGUGAAGGAUGACUGCCCUACGGGUUGUAAACUUCUUUUAUAAAGGAAUAAAGUGAGGCACGUGGGCCUUUUUGGAUGUACUUUAUGAAUAAGGAUCGGCUAACUCCGUGCCAGCAGCCGCGGUAAUACGGAGGAUCCGAGCGUUAUCCGGAUUUAUUGGGUUUAACGGGAGCGUAGAUGGGUUGUUAAGUCAGUUGUGCAAGUUUGCGGCUCAACCGUAAAAUUGCAAUUGAUACUGGCAGCCUUUAGUACAGUUGCGGUAGGCGGACUUCGUGGUGUCGCGG
rnacentral:rRNA from 1 species